UACGUAGGGGGCAAGCGUUGUCCGGAUUUAUUGGGCGUAAAGAGCGUGUAGGCGGCUUUACAGGUCCGUUGUGAAAACUCGAGGCUCAACCUCGAGACGCCGGUGGAAACCGUAAGGCUAGAGUCCGGAAGAGGAGAGUGGAAUUCCUGGUGUAGCGGUGAAAUGCGCAGAUAUCAGGAGGAACACCCGUGGCGAAAGCGGCUCUCUGGGACGGUACUGGACGCUGAGACGCGAAAGCGUGGGGAGCGAACAGG
rnacentral:rRNA from 1 species